AUCGCUUCUCGGCCUUUUGGCUAAGAUCAAGUGUAUUAUUAUUAUUUUAUAUGAUUUGACUCCAC
rnacentral:snRNA from 1 species